UUCUCCAAACAGGUCGCACAAUUUAGUCAUCGGAAGAAAAUUACCGAAAAAAUCCCCCAACCCCCUGCCUGCAUGGACCCUUGCCCCACCAGUGUCAAAAUGGUAAGAGCUGUCAGACAUGGGUAGGAUUUCUUUGUUAUUUUUCAGUGCAUUCAGAACUCGUAAGCAAAAAAAGAGUCUUUUGGGAGGAGCACUCCAGCCAAAUAUUACCAUUACCAUUUGAUGGUGUGCCAUUUAUUGUAGUCGGAAGACAGGUGCGGGAGUGCUCCCAUGGCCCUGACAGGCACAAGUCAGCAAAAUGUAAGAGCAAAAAAGAAAAAGAAGCAGAGAAGGUGAGUUCAUCAGUUUAUUAUCUGUAGUAUAAACUUUUUAAUUUGUAUAGAAGAAAAAAAAUUGAAAUAGUAUAAAUGAAUUUUGAUUAAACUGACUUAAAAUAAAAUAAUGUUCAAUGCAAAAAUUAUUAAAUCAGUCUUAAUUUUUAACAUAGUUUUAAAAUAUCUAAUAAAAUAAGUAAUUUAUAAAUUGAUGGAUGUUUACAGUACUGAACAAAUAAAGUAUUUAAAAAAUAUUCCUUUAAUAAAUAACUGUGAAUGAAUAUGAAAAUUAACAAACUUAUCUUAAAACAGAUAUGUUAACUGAAAAAAACAACACUAAGAGAUUGAGUAGAUUAUUAAGAGUAACAACAAAUCACCAUUUAAAAAGCUAACACUUUAACUUAAUUGUCAACUAAUUUUAAUACCCAGUUAGGCUUUCAUCACUAUCAAACUAAUAUGCUUUUUGCAGAUUUUUCUCAAAUAAGCUUACUGGCCAAUUGUUUUUGUCAUUGCCUGUAGUUCAUUUUUUUGGUGUUCUUUUUAAUCAAACCAAAUCUGCAUCUGUCAAACUCAUUACUGUCCUACUUUUGUCUGUCAUACUGUCCUACUUUUGUCUGUCAUACGGUCCUACUUUUGUCUGUCAUACGGUCCUACUUUUGUCUGUCAUACGGUCCUACUUUUGUCUGUCAUACUGUCCUACUUUUGUCUGUCAUACUAUCCUACUUUUGUCUGUCAUACUAUCCUACUUUUGUCUGUCAUACUGUCCUACUUUUGUCUGUCAUACUGUCCUACUUUUGUCUGUCAUACUAUCCUACUUUUGUCUGUCAUACUAUCCUACUUUUGUCUGUCAUACUAUCCUACUUUUGUCUGUCAUACUGUCCUACUUUUGUCUGUCAUACUAUCCUACUUUUGUCUGUCAUACUAUCCUACUUUUGUCUGUCAUACUGUCCUACUUUUGUCUGUCAUACUAUCCUACUAUUUUGUCAGUAGACUGGCAAAACUGAAAUGUGGUGGCAAUCAUGCUAUGGACUUAUUUCUACUUUCUUUCACAUUUGAUGAAUAAAGAUAAAAAUUGUGCUAUUUGCAAUUAUUGCAUUGCUCAUUAUUUCUGAUGUAUCUAUAAGGCAUAUGUUUGUUUGUUAUACCUUUUUUUAAAUUUGCUAUAAAAUUAAUUGGAAUACCAAUGAAAAUUAUUAACACCAAAUGCACUGUUCUUAUAUUGAAUGAUUUUAAGCUUGACUUGUGAAAUUCCAUAGAUUAAUACCUGCUUAAUUAUUAACUACAUUUACUAGCCCUUUUUGUUGUCUUAAUAUUCAGUAUCUCAUGAGAACUUAUGAUGUAGGGACUUGUCCUCCUGUUUUAAAACUAACUUACUAACUAUUAAUCAAGUAACUAGUUAUGUCAAUUAAUAUCAUGACAAGGAACAGAUCAAGGAUUGUAUUUCAAGACAACUGACAAACAAGAUAAAAGAUAAAUCAUAUCUAAGUAAAUAUCAUUUCAUUUUGUGGCAUUGUUUUUUUCUGAUCCCACAAAUUUAAUGGUGUAUUUAGAAUGGUUUAUUAUCAGCUAGAUGGAUAUUUUACAUCAAUGGUUUAGGAUAAAAAAAAAGCCAGACUAGUUGGAAAUGGAAGAUACAGCCUCUGUAAGGUAUUUAUCACUGUGUUGUAUCAUCUCAGGUGUGUCUAAUUGCUGUUGCUUUUUUUAAAUUUUAUUAAGUUACUUAAGACCAGAAAAAGACAUCUUAGAUAAAUUAUAUAUACAUAACAUAAAGAUAAAACACUGUUUAUACUUAAGCAAGCUUCUUAAUGAAUUUCAUGUUGAAGUAAAAACUGAAGCAGUCAGUGUGUCUUGUUAACAAGGCUUUUAAAAGACUUAUUGGAUUUGCAAAUGAUGUAAGGGCAAUAGUCAAACAGAUGUUUUUUUUUGACAACAAGAGUUAAUAAUUAGAUAUAAUAAAAAUAUUUAAACUUUGUAAAGAAUUUUGUGUAUAAAUAAAUAUCAAUUAUACUUAAAAUUGAUUAAUAUAGUUACAGACUUUUAUCUUACCUAAAUAUCAAAGUCAAAAUUUUCAAAUAUGCUUAAAUUGUCAUAGCUUUGUAAUUUAUUUACAGGUUUGAUUCAUACUUGGCAAAAAGAACACACAUGAUACAACAUGUAUGAACUAAAUUAUCAGAACUUUGUUAUUUUGGAUUUUAUUCAUUUUUGUACAUUCAAAUUUGAUCUUGACCUUCCACUUACCUUGCCAAUUAAUGCUGUACGCCUCCAGAUGAGCCAAAUGUUUCAAGAAAAUCAAUAUUGAGAAAAAUGUACAAACAUUUUAAGAAAGGCAGAUCAUGACUAUGUUCAUAAGCCUAGACGUAACCUUAUACAAACAAGCAAAAAACUUGAUUGUCCUGCAAAAAUUAUUAUCAGGUCAAUAGUACGAUUUCCAGAUUAUAAG